rnacentral:lncRNA from 1 species
GAAGCAGAGAGAAACACCCCUCUGUUAAGGCAUCUAUGGUACACCCCAGACCCGGCCCUCUAAGGCCCCGCGCUUCCGAGCUCCGCGCAAACUCUAGUUCUUUUUGCACGACGGAGGUGGUUUGCUCUUCCGUUGCCCUGUGGCUUCAGCUUAUCUCCAGAAGGAAGGCGAGGCUUCCGCCCAGCACUGGGGGUGAGCGGGAGCACAUUGCCCCCAAGCCCCUGGACAGCAUUUGGAAGAGGGAUUUUCGGGCUUUUCAAGAGGAGAGAAGUUUGAAGUUACUAAAGUCAAGGCGGGAGUUGGGGAGGACUUGUCUUAGGACCGGACCGGGUGACAGUGGGAACAUUCAUCAUCGACGUGGCAUUGUGGUAUCAUUGGCCUUUGUGACCGCUGACUAGGGGGCGGAUCGGCGUGCAGAAGGGGCGUGUUGACGGGGUAUCCCGAAGUCUGCCUCACAAUCUAGAGUGUUUUGGUAAUCCAUACAAUAAUCUGUUAAGGUGAGUAGCGCCCUGAGGUUUGUUUUUUAAGCUUUUCUUCGUGUGCUAUGCAUAAUUUAUGAGGGGGCGUGGCCUAUACAGCUUCUGCGGAUCCGCAGUUAGCUUUCUCUCACAGGUUCCAGGAUUUACACCUGGCUCCUAUCAGAGACGAUGUCGCGGGUAUUAUUCAUGCCUUGUGUCUCAGUAAUUCCAGAUUACUAACCGAAAUUUGAAUUCAAAUCCCAUCCAUCUUUACCGUUGUGGAUCUUUGGCUGGUCUUCAGGAGUCCGAGAAGUGGGUAUUCAGGACAAUAAGAAUAGUUUACACCCAUUUGGUUACUUUUAUUAACCUAUUUUAUCUUCACAACUUCUCAGAAGUAGGUUUCAUUCUGCUUUAUAGAUGAGACACAGGACAGGUAAGUAAUUUGUCCUAAAGUCGCACAGUGCAUGGCUGAACUAGGAUUCAGAUCUGAUCUGUCUGGUUUCAGAGUUGGAUAAUGCGGUUCCCGAGCCAAUUUAAUGGUACUAUUACUGCCAGGCUCCGAGAUACUCAUACCUUCCCUCCCUCUUUUCUCUCCCUCUGUUGUUUGCUACUCCUCUUUCUAAGUUGUUACUGUGUUUCCCUCAAGUACCAUGGAAUUACAAGGAGUAGUUGGGCCGUUGAGUGAGGCUGCAGGAUCUCUUGAAUAAGGGUGUUUGAGACCAGUAUGGACAACAUAGCAAAACUCUCUCUCCUUUCUUUUAUUUCUCCCCCCUUUUCUUCUCUCCCUCUGUUUUCCCUCUAUUCCUUUUCCCCUCCUCCUCUCCCUCUUCUCUCUGGUCUCCCUGUCUUCCCUUUCCUUGUGUCUGUUUUUCUCUGUCUCUUUCUCUGGGGUCUGUUUCCCCAGACUUGCCUGGUAUUAGUGAUCCUCCUGCCUCAGCUUGCCAAGUACUACGGAAUUACAGGAGUCAUGCUAGCACACCCCAGCAAGACCCUGUCCUUUUAAGAGAGCAGUGUUGCUACUGUUCAGGUUAAUUAUAUGCUACUAUGUGCUAGACACUGUUUUACUCAUUGAAAUUCAACCACAAGGUAAGUUCUUGUUCUUAAUUCCCAGUUUUCUGGAUCUGAAAACAUUCAAGUUGAUAAUUUUUGUAAUUGCUGUAUUUGUAAAUAAUUUUAGAUUAAUUAAAAUAUGCUUUCAUAUUUACUUUAGUUACAUAUAUUUGAAAAUCGUUACAAUGCCUAGUGGCAGCACUACUCUAAAAUCCUUUCUGUACUCAUUUUCAUAACACAUUUUAUCAGUCUGGGUUGGGUGAUUUUUUGAAGUGGGGAUUGGUGUGGUUCUUUUUUUUAUGAUACUAUGGCUUGAACCCAGGGUGUUGGGGAAGUGCUUCAUCCAUAACCUACAUCUCCAACCCAAGGUGGAUUGGUUCUAUUACUAUCAUUGCCUGUCAAAGGCAUAUAGUGAGUCUGGAUUUAGUCGGGAACAAGAUAAUCCCCUAACUGGUCAGGAUGAGGAGCAAGGACUGUGCUCCCCUCUGGGUUUGCAGGGUUAUCCCUUAUGACACAUGCCUUGACUAUUGUCUCAUAAUCUCUGCUUGCUGGGCAGGGCCACCUUAGCUAGGAAACUGCCCACAAGCUCCAUGGGAUUUGUCCUUUUUUGAGACAGCAUUUCAUGAUAACCAGGCUGGCUUCAAACUGAUGAUCCUCCUGCUUCCAUCUCUCUUAGUGCCAGGAUUACAGGCAUGUGCCACUACGCAUGUACUGCCUGCGUGCAACCUUUCUUUCUUUUGCCCGCCCCACACCCACCCACCCUCUCUAUACAGGGUCUCUUUAUAGUCCUGGCUGUCCUGGAACUCGCUCUGUAGACCAGACUGGCCUCAAACUCAGAGAUCCAUCUG